rnacentral:misc_RNA from 1 species
UUCUACAUCUACAACUAAGGGAUAGUAGUACUAGUACAUAGCAAGUAGCAUACACUUUCAAAUAAUUGUUAAAUUUUAUCCUUUAAAAUAUUUUAUGCUAGCAUGAGUUUAUUUAAUUAGUUACUGAGGUUGGACAAGAAGCAUGAGUCCAACCAAAAUAUGCAACUAUUGGAACACAAAGGAAGAUACUACAUGAAGAACUAUUAAAACAUAGAAAGCAAAGGAUUAUACUAUAUAUCUUGGGACACACACAUUCACUAGAAGCAAAUACAAUAGUGUAAAAUGUUGCACAGGUCAUAGUUAGUUAACAGAAGAACAUCAUUCUAUAAAUAGGCCUUUGAAAAAGCAAAUAUGUUAGUUCCCUAUAGAUUUGCAGGAGAUUCCAAGUGAAUACAACACGAAUAAAAUUAACUAUUUGCUUUAGUAAUGCAGUCUUGUCCAUUAAAGACAGCCGAUGUUGUAAAUGAAGUAGUGUUUGUAUAGGUUUAGAGUGAGAUUGCCUUUUCUGAUGGCAUAUGAAUCAGUUCAUUCUGGCAUUGAUGAGAGAGCUUCUCCUAAUUUGCUUCAAGAGCAGGUAGAAUUUAUGAAAGCUAAAAUAUCAAGGACAAAAGAAAUAAUCUAUUGCGAAAGUGCAAGUUUUUUGUACAGAUUUAGAGUCAGAUGGUCUUUAGUAAUAGCACAUGCAUUCAUUCAUAUUGACACUCAGACUGACAUUAAAAUUAACUGACCUAGAUGCAACAAAAGAGCAAUAAAUUUAUUUCUAAGAGAAAUACAAUUGUCUACACCUAUGGCAUACUAAAGCCUUUCCUACCAACACAAAAUGAAUGCUUAGAGGAUUCAAAGAAUAAGAAAGUGAUUCACCUAUGGCCAAUCAUGAAGCG